CCCCCCCCUCAUCCCUGCCCCCCAUCAUCCCUGCCCCCCCAUUAUCCCACGAGGCCACCAAGCAUGGCAAGGAGAUGGCGAUGGCACCGGGCAUGGAAGUGGCACGUGGCCAUCUGGGCACAGCAGCAACAUGGAGGUGGCACUGAGCAUGGAUGUGGCACAUGGCCACCAAGCAUGGCAACAACAUGGAGGUGGCACAGGGCACGGAGGUGACAUGUGGCCAUGUGGGCAUGGCAAAGAAUGGAGGUGGCACCGGACAUGGAGGUGGCACGAGGCCACCAAGCAUGGCAAGGAGAUGGUGAUGGCACCGGGCAUGGAUGUGGUACGUGGCCAUGUGGGCACGGCAAGGAAUGGAGGUGGCACGUGGCCAUGGGGGCACAAUGAGGACAUGGCAGUGGCACCUGGCAUGGAGGUGGCACGAGGCCACCAAGAAUGGCAAGGAAUGGAGGUGGCACUGAGCAUGGAUGUGGCACGUGGCCACAUGGGCACGGCAAGGAAUGGAGGUGGCAAUGGGCAAUCAGAUGGUGAUGGCACCGGGCAUGGAGGUGGCUCAUGGCCAUCUGGGCACAGCAACAACAUGGAGGUGGCAUCGGGCAUGGAUGUGACACGUGGCCACCAAGCAUGGCAAGGAGAUGGCGAUGGCACUGGGCAUGGAUGUGGUACGUGGCCAUGGGGGCACAGCAAGGAAUGGAGGUGGCACCGAGCAGGGAGGUGGCACAUGGCCACCAAGCAUGGCAACUGCAUGGCAGUAGCACAGGGCAGGGAUGUGACAUGUGGCCACCAAGCAUGGCAAGGAGGUGGCGAUGGCACCGGGCGUGGAUGUGACACGUGGCUAUGUGGGCACAGCAACAACAUGGAGGUGGCACCGGGCAAUCAGAUGGCAGUGGCACAGGGCAGGGAGGUGACAUGUGGCCAUGUGGGCACGGCAAGGAAUGGAGGUGGCACCGGGCACGGAUGUGCCACGAGGCCACCGAGCACGGCAAGGCGGUGGCGAUGGCGCAGUGUGGCUGUGGCUCACGGCCAUGUGGGCACAGCACCAACACUGAUGGCACACAGUGUGGCUGUGCUGUGUGCCACCCCCCAUCCCAGCGCUGCUGCCACAUUCCCCCCCCCCCACUGCAAUCACACAGCGUUCAUUUAUUUAAUGCAGCGUUUAUUGCCUCCACUCCAGCGCUGCUCCCCCCCCUCUGUGCUGUGACCCCAUAGAUUGGGGUGCUGUGGCCCCAUGCAUCGGGGUGCUGUGACCUCAUAUAUUGGGGUGCUGUGACCCCAUAUAUCGGGGUGCUGUGCCCUAUAGAUUGGGGUGAUCUCUCCCCCUGUAUAGGGGUGCUGUGUCCCCCACUAUUGGGGUGCUGUGUCCCCAUAUAUGGGAGUGCUGUGGCCCCAUACAUCAGGGUGCUGUGCCCUAUAGAUUGGGGUGAUCUCCCCCACUGUAUAGGGGUGCUGUGGCCCCAUAUAUUGGGGUGCUGUGCCCUAUAGAUCGGGGUGCUGUGCCCUAUAGACUGGGGUGCAGUGUCCCCCUAUAGUGGGAUGCUUUGUCCCUAUAUAUUGGGGUGCUGUGCCCUAUAGAUUGGGGCUCUGUCCCCCCCUGUAUAGGGGUGCUGUGUCCCCAUAUAUUGGGGUGCUGUGACCCCGUAUAUUGGGGUGCUGUGCCCUAUAGAUUGGAGUGAUCUCCCCCCCUGUAUUGGGGUGCUGUGGCCCCAUAUAUUGGGGUGCUGUGACCCCGUAUAUUGGGGUGCUGUGCCCUAUAGAUUGGAGUGAUCUCCCCCCCUGUAUAGGGGUGCUGUGUCCCCAUAAAUUGGGGUGCUGUGGCCUCAUAUAUUGGGGUGCUGUGCCCUAUAGAUUGAGGUGAUCUCCCCCCCUGUAUAGGGGUGCUGUGGCCCCAUAUAUUGGGGUGCUCUGCCCUAUAGAUUGGGGCUCUGUCCCCCCCUGUAUGGGGGUGCUGUGUCCCCAUAUAUUGGGGUGCUGUGCCCUAUAGAUUGGGGUUCUGACCCCCUGUAUAGGGGUGCUGUGUCCCCAUACGUCGGGGUGUUGUGGCCCCAUAUAGUGGGGUGCUGUGACCUCAUAUAUUGGGGUGCUGUGACCCCAAAUAUUGGGGUGCUGUGCCCUAUAGAUUGGGGUGAUCUCCUCCCCUGUAUGGGGGUGCUGUGUCCCCAUAUAUGGGGGUGCUGUGCCUAUAGAUUGGGGUGCUGUGCCCUAUAGACUGGGGCUCUGUCCCUCCCUGUAUAUUGAGGCGCUGUGUCCCCCACUAUUGGGGUGCUGUGUCCCCAUAAAUUGGGGUGCUGUGUCCCCAUACAUCGGGGUGCUGUGUCCCCAUAUAUUGGGGUGCUGUGCCCUAUAGAUUGGGGUGAUCUCCCCCCCCGUAUAGGGGUGCUGUGUCCCCCACUAUUGGGGUGCUGUGUCCCCAUAUAUGGGGGUGCUGUGGCCCCAUACAUCGGGGUGCUGUGCCCUAUAGAUUGGGGCUCUGUCGCCCCCUGUAUAGGGGUGCUGUGUCCCCAUACAUUGGGGUGCUGUGUCCCCAUACAUCGGGGUGCCCCCAUAUAGACCGGGGCUCCGUCCCCCCCAGUAUUGGGGUUCCGUGUCCCCAUACAUCGGGGCGCUGUGUCCCUCUAUACCGGGAUGCUGCGUCCCCAUACACAGAGCUGCCCUCCCCCCCAGUAUCGGGGUCCCCCCCCC
rnacentral:lncRNA from 7 species